UACAGGGGGGGCAAGCGUUGUUCGGAAUUACUGGGCGUAAAGGGCGCGUAGGCGGCCAACUAAGUCACACGUGAAAUCCCCAGGCUUAACCUGGGAACUGCGUGUGAUACUGGAUGGCUUGAAUUCGGGAGAGGGAUGCGGAAUUCCAGGUGUAGCGGUGAAAUGCGUAGAUAUCUGGAGGAACACCGGUGGCGAAGGCGGCAUCCUGGACCAACACUGACGCUGAGGAGCGAAAGCCAGGGGAGCAAACGGG
rnacentral:rRNA from 1 species